rnacentral:tRNA from 1 species
GGUGGAAUUGGUAGACACGCUGGAUUUAGGUUCCAGUGUCGCAAGACGUGAGAGUUCGAGUCUCUCCUUCCGCACCA